rnacentral:rRNA from 1 species
GUAGGUGGCAAGCGUUGUCCGGAAUUAUUGGGGCGUAAAGCGCGCGCAGGCGGUUCUUUAAGUCUGAUGUGAAAGCCCACGGCUCAACCGUGGAGGGUCAUUGGAAACUGGAGAACUUGAGUACAGAAGAGGAAAGCGGAAUUCCACGUGUAGCGGUGAAAUGCGUAGAGAUGUGGAGGAACACCAGUGGCGAAGGCGGCUUUCUGGUCUGUAACUGACGCUGAGGCGCGAAAGCGUGGGGAGCAAACAGGAUUAGAUACCCUGGUAGUCCACGCCGUAAACGAUGAGUGCUAAGUGUUAGGGGGUUUCCGCCCCUUAGUGCUGCAGCUAACGCAUUAAGCACUCCGCCUGGGGAGUACGGCCGCAAAGGCCUG